AGAAUUGUGGACCAGAGAAGCCUCUCUCUUAGGGAAGAAAGAGAUGAGACUCAAGGGCAGUUGGUGCACUCUAUGCUUGGGCCAGGCAGAGCCCAGGCCUCACCUUGACCUCUUCCUCCAGCUGCCUCUUGAGGUCCUCCAGUUGCUGGGUAUAGGUUCCAUUCUCUGGAGACAUCGUGGGCACGUGAGGGGCAUGUGCACCCCAAGUUGGGGUGGCUCAUGGAGCUCCAGCCCCGGUCUCACCGUUCUCUGUCUGCAGCUUGGCCCGCUGGCUGGUGAGGUCGGUGACAGAGCGCUGAGUUUCCUCAGCCUUGCUCCGGUGCUCAUUCAUCUGGUCUUCCAAGGUCCGGCACAUCUUCUCGAGACGUGGCCCCACCGGCCUCCUCCAGCCGCUCACUGAUCUCCUCCAGCUCGCGGGUCAGGUCUGAGCGCAGCUUCUCCACCUUGGCCCUGGCUGUGCGCUCGGCCUCCAGUUCCUCCUCCAGCUCUUCGAUGCGUGCCUAGUCAGGGACACAGAGGUUCCGACCGGCUUCCUGGACCCCUCCACUGAGGGCCUCCUGAUGUCCCUCACCCCAGAGCUCUAAAAGACCCUGGCCCAUGGAGAACAUCAAGUCCAUGAUGCUCUCCUGAGUCAGCUUCAGGUCACCCUCCAGCUUCCGCUUGGCUCGCUCCAGGUCCAUGCGCACCUUCUUCUCCUGCUCCAGGGAUCCCUCCAGCUGGCGGAGAGAAGGGCCAGCUAUGUACCACGAGAUGCCAACUUUCCAGUUGCCCCAAAAUGGAUUCGAAUGAAUUUUCCCUGAAGAGAUGGAUAGUAGAGGGUGGUAGUGAGCCUGGGAAAGGCUCAUAGUUGAGACCAAUCUUCAGCCAGCCCAAGUCCCAAGUACAAGGUGGAGUAUCACUCACAAAUCGAGAGGAAUUAUCGUUCCGGACUGUCUUGGCAUUGCCAAAGGCCUCCAGCGCGGGGUUGGCUUGGAUGAUCUGGUCUUCCAGGGUGCCCUGUAAGAGGUCAUGAAGGAUGGGAGGUGAAGACUCCCUACUUUUUUUUCUCACAAUGCAGGCCCUUAGGUGAUAACAGGCCUACCUUGCCUGGGGUCUGGUCCUUCUUGCUGCGGUCCCCAAUGGCAGCAAUAACAGCAAAAUAUUGAAUGACCCUCUUGGUGUUGACUGUCUUACCAGCUCCGGAUUCUCCCCUGUUGUGACAGGCAAAGGCUCAAUAGGCAGUAAAUACUGCUGCUUAUGAUCAACAAACCUCAAGUGAGGAGAGAACACCUAUCCCUACUGGAGAGGGGCAGUCUCAUCGGGAAGUUGGUAGAGAAUGGCACCAAGGAUCCAGCGAGCAAGCAGGAAAGAUGCUGCAAGAGAAUGGGCUCAAUCAGCGGGGAGGACUGUUUUGGAAGAGUGGGUGGAAGAAGGAAAAGAUUUCGGAAAGGAAAGCUAAGGAAGAGGAGGCGGUGAAGACGCGCGUGUGGACUUUAUCCAAUGGGCUUAGAGAGGAUGGAAGAGUUAGAAGGCAACGGGCGAAGGAAGCAAGCGAGGAAACCGAGAGAGAUGAAAAGCAGAGAGGAAGAGGGACACAAAGAAAGGAGCCAGGGCAAAGAUCAGAGAAGAAAGCAAUGGGCAUAGGGUGGAGAGAAAGAGAAUCAUAGGUGUGUGCAAAGGAGUCUGGGUUCCCCCUGGGGGCUGGGAUUAGGGAGUCUGGAACCAUGCUCACGUGAUAAGGAUGGACUGGUUCUCCCGAUCUGGAAGAGAGAAGAGGAGAGACAAUGGGUGGGGGCUAGGUGGGGGCUGGGGUGAGGGGGACACAGGCCAGGACACCAGGCUCACCUGUCAGCAUGUACUGAUAGGCAUUGUCAGAGAUAGAGAAGAUGUGGGGCGGGGCCUCGCUCCUUUUCUUGCCCCUGUAGGCAGCCACCACUUCAGCAUUAUACACUGGCAGCCACUUAUAGGGGUUGACAGUGACGCAGAAGAGGCCCGAGUAGGUCUGGGGGUGAGGAAGAGAAAGCGUGUGAGGGUGAUUUUCAGAAUUCGAGAAAGACCCCCGGAGAGGAAGAAAGCAAAGGGAGAGCUCAGAAUGUGUGCAGCGGAACCAUUCCAGUGUUACAGCUGAGCCAAAGGGGCAGGAGCCUGUGUAGAGCGCCUUGUUCCUGGCUUGGCUUCAGGAGGCUGCUCUUGCCCAGGAAGCCCUAGGUUCUGGGGGACAGGCUGGUGCCACACUCACGUAGAUCAUCCAGGAGGCAUAGCGCUCCUUGAGGUUGUACAGCACGGCCGGCUCGUGUAGGAAGGUCAGCAUGGCCAUGUCUUCAAUCUUGUCGAACUUGGGCGGGUUCUGCUGCAUCACCUGGUCUUCCUUCACGGUCACCGUCUGUAACAGCCCACACAGGCCCUGUCAGUCUGUGUCUGUCCUGCUCUAUUGGCAACGUGGGGAGUAGGGAAGGUACGGGUGGGUGAGAUGCUAUUUAGCUGAGGAGGGAUCUUGGAUGUAGGGUGGAGGCUGGGAGUCAGAGGGAUCAUGGGAGAGUUUGGGCUUCCAUCCUACCUGGAGGACAGGAGGCUCAGUGGCCCUCAGGUGUGCAUGCAUGUACCCUCUCUGUGCACCCCAGCUGUGGGGCUCUCUCAAGUGGCUUCCCACACGGGUACCCACACGUACCUUGCCAUUCUCUGUCUCAGCAGUGACUUUGCCACCCUCUCGAGACACAAUCUUGGCCUUGACAAACUCUUCCUUGUCAUCAGGCACAAACACAUCUUUCUUGAGGUCGAAAGGCCUGGUCUGCGCCUCCAGCCGCUCCUUCUCAGAUUUGCGCAGGAAGGGGGCUGCGGCCCCAAAUGCGGCCAUCUCGGCAUCUGCCAUGGCUGAGCCUGGGGUGAGGAGCGGCUGUUACCUACGUGCCUUCUCCCUCCCUGGCUCUCCCCUGUGGUGGCAGAUCUGAUACCACGCUCAGCACUCAGGAGGAACCACCCGCGAGUCCCUUGCUCUUCAAGCUUACCCCUAAAUGGGAGAUCAGCCUGACAACUGCCUGGCAAAAGGGACAGCUUCACUUUGUUCAAGCUGGGGCACUCUUUGGGGAGGGUCCUGACCUUCUUUCUGGGCAGGAUUCUGUCUGCCUCGAUCUCUCCCUAUCAACAGACCCCAUCCCUCACUGGCCAUAGGCAAGGAGCUCCUGGAAACCAGGUCAUUGUCUCCGAGCAGGGCAAGAAAGGCUUUGGGCUACCAUGUUCAGUCUUCCCAGAACCCCCAGCACUUGAACUUCAGCCCUUCUUACCUUAGUUUCUCAAACGCGUCUAGUGAUGAGGAAGUCGGCCCAGGCCUGGAGGAACCCUGGAGAAAGGAAAGGGGCUGCGGCAGGCUGUAGGCCAACCUGGCCACUGCCACCUUCAUCCUGUCCGCUGUUCUCUUCAGCAUCCCCCCUCCUCCACCCCCAAGACAGACCAGAAGCGCUGUUCAGUCCUCUGGUCAGUCUCCUCCUUCCUUUUCAAACGCUAUUUCCUUUCUCCCCAAAACUAAUUCAAACAAUUUUCUGUUGCCUCUGAGCCCCAAUCUUCUACCCCUAGGGGUUGUUCUACCCUUACCUGUACCCGACUGGCGAGACUUCCUCUCUUUGAGCCACCUACAAAGCGAUAACAGUGACAUUGGUUUAAUAUUUUUCAGACAAAGCACUUUGAUUCUUUCACUCCACGGUCACCCCUUGGACACGUGAGGAAACCGAGGCCACAUGGCUUGCUCUUCUCAGGGCCCAAAACAAGAGCCAAGGGUCAGGACUCUAACAGCAUCCUGUUAGAUGGGUCUUCCAUCCCAGCGCCUCCUCCACAACCCCUAAUGAGCACGCAUGACUGCUGUGUGUGUACACACUUUCCAGAAAGAUAGGCUGCCUCCUAUCCUCAGCGCACACGCCCCCACAGUGUUCGUGUGCCUCAAGAACAGCCAAGCACACAGGCUGACUCCCGUGGCUGACUCAGAGUCCUCCCCAAGACACCUGCAUGCCUGUGAGCUCCUGCUGCAGAGACUGGACACAGAGUCGCCCUGGACAGUGUGUACAUGUCAGACUCAAUUAUUCACAGUACUGGUUUCCUUCAGAGUUAUUCUCCAGCAUUCUCCCCCUCCUCCCCCAAAACGCUGUACCCAGGCGUGAUGGCAAGUACGUCCUCUACUGUAUCUUACACGGUGAAAAGUAUACUCACCCCUACAUUGAA